rnacentral:misc_RNA from 1 species
GAUGAAGAACGUAGCGAAAUGCGAUAAGUAAUGUGAAUUGCAGAAUUCAGUGAAUCAUCGAAUCUUUGAACGCACAUUGCGCCCCCCAGUAUUCUGGCGGGCUUGCCUGUUCGAGCGUCAUUUCAACCAUCAAGCCCUGCUUGUGUUGGGGUCCUGCGGCUGCCCGCAGGCCCUGAAAACCAGUGGCGGGCUCGCUAGUCACACCGAGCGCAGUAGCACAUCUCGCUCAGGGCGUGCGGCGGGCUCCAGCCGUUAAAGCACCCACCUUUCGCAAGGUUGACCUCGGAUCAGGUAGGAAUACCCGCUGAACUUAAGCAUAUCAAUAAGCGGAGGA